rnacentral:tRNA from 1 species
UUGGAUCACCUCCUAACAGGGAGACAAACAACGAUUUUGAUGUCCGAGUUCUUUAUUCUUAGGCCAAAAUCCUGUCACCUUUAGGUCGAUCGGUACCUCAACUUUUAAGCUAAGAGAGUUCCCAGCAAUAGUUGUCUGCUUAGUGGAGAUUUUUAGUUCCUAAACUUUGUCUAGUUCACAACCCAUUAGGGAUGAGACUCCUGGGCCAUAAGCUCAGGUGGUUAGAGCGCACCCCUGAUAAGGGUGAGGUCCCUGGUUCAAGUCCAGGAUGGCCCAUUCGGUGUAGGGGGUUUAGCUCAGUUGGUAGAGCGCCUGCUUUGCAAGCAGGAUGUCAGGAGUUCGAGUCUCCUAACCUCCACUGACUACCAAAAUCCCCAUCUCCAAAACCUGGAGUAUGAACUCGUAUGGAUUGUGAUUUAGAUUUGUCCGCUAGAUGACCCUAGCUUCUUGUCAUUUUAAGGCAUGGAAAUAAUUCCAUGAUUUGAUUGAUAGGAUGCUGGGCUCGAUGCAAUGUAUUGAGAGAUCAAUGCAUUGUUUUGAUGUCUAGCCGAACCUUGACAACUGCAUAGUUUAAGUCUGGAAAGAAUAAAGCAUCUUACAGAUGCAUUGUUUUAAGCCUGAAUUCUCGAAAGGGAAUUUAGAAUUAGAACAAUGAAAAUUCUUUUGAGCAAGAGCCGAGACUCUUAAAUGUUCUUUGAUUCGUGUCGAGCGAAUUAGAGUUUGAUUUUGUUUUUAUGAGCAACGAAAGUUGUUGAUGAAACCAGAAGAAUCUGCUUUCAACCGCAGUAAGCGUUUAAGAGGUUAAUUGGUCAAGCUACAAAGGGCUCACGGCGGAUACCUUGGCACACAGAGGCGAUGAAGGA